GAUGAACGCUGGCGGCGUGCCUAAUACAUGCAAGUCGAGCGAACAGACGAGGAGCUUGCUCCUCUGACGUUAGCGGCGGACGGGUGAGUAACACGUGUAUAACCUACCUAUAAUACUGGGAUAACUUCGGGAAACCGGAUCUAAUCCCGUAUAAUAUAUUGAACCGCAUUGUUCAAUAGUGAAAGACGGUUGUUCUGUCACUUAUAGAUGGAUCCGCGCCGCAUUAGCUAGUUGGUAAGUUAACGGCUUACCAAGGCAACGAUGCGUAGCCGACCUGAGAGGGUGGUAGCCGACCUGGGAAGGGAGCCACGGACAAGACUCCUACGGGAGGCAGCAGUAGGGAAUCUGCCGCAAAGGGCGAAAGCAUGACGGAGCAACGCCGCGUGAGAGAUGAAGGUCUUCGGAUCGUAAAACUCUGUUAUUAGGGAAGAACAAAUGUGUAAGUAACUAUGCACGUAUUGACGGUACCUAAUCAGAAAGCAACGGCUAACUACGUG
rnacentral:rRNA from 1 species